GCAAUUUUGACAACAUCAGAAAAAAAUACAAAAAUACCUAACCCUAAACCCAUCUUUUUCUCUAGAACCGCCGCCCCCCCGGUUGAGAAUUUUCUUCCCCUUUCACAGCCGCUCCCCCCGGGGUCCAACACCAUUUUUCAUCCCUCUCUUUCGGCUGAAAAUUAGGGGAGGAGCCUAGACAGCAGCCCCACCUUCUUUUCCAUUUUCCAGCCGACAGGAGGCCGUUCCCUUUGGCUUUUCUUCUUCCCCACAGCAGCUGGCAACAGGACUGAUGGUCCCCGGUCUCUCUUCCUUCCCCGCUGCCCCCCCUUUUCCUUCAUUAGGACCAGACCUCACGGCAGAAAAGGGGGCCUGAUUCUCUUCUUGCUCCUUCCCACAGCAGACUGCAGACAAGCCUCCCUUGAGGAGCACCUUUCCUUUCUUCUCCUUUUGGGGAGGACAUCCGAACACCCUCCUCCCUUGCUCUCUGCCAAGACAAACCAGACCAGCCUCCCCUCACAAAUCAGCCUCCACCGUAGCCCCAUCUUCCUCUCCCCUCUCCCAGCCGGUUCCACUCUCUCCAUCAUCUGCUGACAGCCGCUCUAGCUGCCGCCUCCCGUGGCCUUGGGAAAGCCAAUCGGAGAGAAACCCCCACAGACCCAGCAGUGCCGUCCACACUCCCUCGGCCAGCUAUCAACAGCAACGGAGAAGCAGCUCCACAGAACCGGCCUCCACCGAGCCACAAAUCUUCCCCCCUGGUUUCGAUUUUCUUUUCCAGCCGACCAACCCCACAGAGGCGCCUUCUUCAUCCAGCAGCACCCAGCCACUCCUUCCUCCUCUGCUCCUCCAGCCGCUCACAGCAGACGCCCAACCAAGACCCUCUCCUCAAACAGAUCUUCACCGCAGCUUCAACAGCCCCAACAACACCUCCCGCGGCCUCCUCAGCAGUGACAGCCUCCACAGGAGCAAGCCGCCGCCUUCCAGCUUCUUCACCGGCCAACAGCAGUCCUCCUUCCUCCAGCGGCGCCCACAGAGGCAGCCCCACUCCCAUCCGAGAACCGACCGCCGGAUCUGCAACCGGCAGAGAAGAAACGAACCAAAAGGAAGGCAGAAAACAGAAGUGAAACAAAGGAAAUAAAAAACUAAAAUCUAUUGUUUUGCGCGUUGCUUUUCUUGUUCUGCAGGAUGACGACAGUUUAGGAGGACAGAGGGGGGGAGGAAACCUUCCCGAGCCCCUGUUUGUUUUUUUCCAGCGGCGGCGCGUGGAAGGACGCGCCGCCACUGUUCAUACGGGUCCAAAAGGUUUCCCUGCACUGUAAAGGAUUUAUGGGGGUCUGUUUUGUAAUUUUUAAAGUGUUUGAUGUAAUUUUUGUUUAGUUGUUGAAUUUUUACAAUCUGUAUUGUGUAUGUAAAAAAGAGAAGAAAAAAUGCAGUAAAGAAAAAGAAGAGAAAAAAAAUACAGUGAAGGUGUAUGUGUGUGUUUAUAUUUUUUUU